rnacentral:RNase_P_RNA from 1 species
AAAAUAAGCCGUCUUAUCGCUCAUGUUGUUAAACAAUAUGAGAGGAAAGUCCGAACAACAAAGAGCAACAUGCUUCCUAACGGGAAGACACCGCAAGGGCGACCAAACGGUGCUAGCUAGUGCCACAGAAAAUUACCGCCAAACACGUUUUGGUAAGGGUGAAAAGGUAGAGUAAGAGCCUACCGCUUGCUUGGUGACAAGCAAGGCAUAGGUAAACCUCAUGUGUUGAAAGACCAAAUAGGCUGGCUACUCUUCGGAGCAAAAGGCUGCUCGCUUGAGCCAGUGGGUAGGUUGAUAGAGGCAGUAGGUGACUACUGUUCGAGAUAAAUGAUAAGAAUAAAAUUCACUUAGGUGGCGUUUUAUACAGAAUUCGGCUUAUAGGCUUAUUUUCUUU